rnacentral:rRNA from 1 species
AUUGAACGCUGGCGGCAGGCCUAACACAUGCAAGUCGAGCGGAGCGGCGGACGGGUGAGUAAUGCCUAGGAAUCUGCCUGGUAGUGGGGGAUAACGUCCGGAAACGGGCGCUAAUACCGCAUACUAUCAGAUGAGCCUAGGUCGGAUUAGCUAGUGGGUGGGGUAAAGGCCUACCAAGGCGACGAUCCGUAACUGGUCUGAGAGGAUGAUCAGUCACAUUGAAAUGGGGACAGGGUCGAAACCCUUACGGGGGGGAGCGUUGGGAAUAUUGGACAAUGGGCGAAAGCCUGAUCCAGCCAUGCCGCGUGUGUGAAGAAGGUCUUCGGAUUGUAAAGCACUUUAAGUUGGGAGGCGUUACCAACAGAAUAAGCACCGGCUAACUUCGUGCCAGCAGCCGCGGUAAUAC